rnacentral:tRNA from 1 species
GCCUGGGUGGCUCAGUCGGUUGAGCGUCCGACUUUAGCUCAGGUCAUGAUCUCGCGCUCCGUGAGUUCAAGCCCCGCAUCAGGCU